AUCUCCCUGGGCUCGAUCUCCCCCGCGCUGGGCUUGAUCUCUCUGGGCUCGAUCUCCCCCGCGCUGGACUCGAUCUCCCUGGGCUCGAUCUGCCCUGCGCUGUGCUCGAUCUCCCUGGGCUCGAUCUCCCCCCGCGCUGGCUUCCAUCUCCACCCGCGCUGGGCUCGAUCUCCCCCCGCGCUGGGCUCCAUCUCCUCUGCGCUGGGCUCAAUCUCCCCCGCACUAGGCUCGAUCUCCCCUGCACUAGGUUCGAUCACCCCUGCACUAGGUUCGAUCUCCCCCCGCGCUGGGCUCCAUCUCCUCUGCACUGGGCUCAAUCUCCCCCGCACUAGGCUCGAUCUCCCCUGCACUAGGCUCGAUCUCCCCUGCACCGGGCUCCAUCUCCCCUGCGUUGCACCAAAGUGGACUCCGUCCACAGCUGUCGGUGGAAAGAAACUUUGCUUCAGACCCACUGGAAGAUGCUGAUCUCUCCAAAGAAGCUCUAUCACCAGAAUCCUCCCUUUCUCCCCUGAUGAGAUUAGCUAACCUCUUCUUAAAAGCAUCUCUACUUCAGAGCAAGCAAAAUGAGGAUGCAGGAUUACAAAGCAAGGCGUGCUGUGCAGCUGGAUCACCUGAUUCAAGGAAAAUCUUGCCUGAGGCUGAACAAUAAAGCACAUGAGCUACAUUUCUAACUCAGACUUGUUCCAGAGGUGGUGAGAUGAGGACUUUGCUUUGACUUCAGAAUGCUGUUAACAGCAAGAUAAAUUACAACGUCUGCCAAUGAAGAAUCCUAAUACAAGAUACAAGAGUAUGCAAUCUAUUGAAUUAUUGUUGACUUUGAUGCACUUCAGCUACUGGAAGUACAAAUCAGAGAUUCUGCCUGGAAGUUUGUUGCCCAUCAUUUGCAACAGCUAAAAUUUUUAGCAGUGUGCCUUGAGUUUGUUUGAGGAGACAAACUAACAGUGUGGAUUCAAAAUGUUCACUCUGCUUUCUUCCCACAGAUGCUGCCAGACCUGUUGAGAUUUGUUAGAAAUUUCUGUUGUUGCUGUAGGAGAAUAGUAGGACCCAUUCGGGACCAUAAAUGUAAUCUAUGUGUGGACCUGGAAGAUAUGGAAUACUGUUCUCAAUGAAUACUUUGUGUAGGUCUUCACCAUAGUAAAGGAUGACACAUCAAGGUGGAGGACUAUGAAAUAUUCGAAGAAAUUAACAUCUGUAGAGAAGAGGUACAGGUAGGUUUCACAGCCUUAAAACUGUAUAUAUGUACAGGCCCCAUUGAGGGAGGUAAAGGAGGAGAUAUCAACAAUUCUGGCAACAAUUUUCAAAUCGUCUCUAGGUACAAGAGAGGUGACAGAGAACUGAAGGACUGCUAAUGUUGUUCCAUUAUUAAAACCAGGAGGAAGGGAUAGACGAGACAAUUACAGGCUAAUCACUCUAACAUUGAUGUUAGGGAAGACAUCAAAAAGAAUAAUGAGGGAUAUAAUAUACCUGUACUUGGAGAGACAUGGAUUUUUGUGGCUGGUUGGCUCGCCAAGCUGGCUCGUUGUUUCACAGACUUUUCAUUA